rnacentral:rRNA from 1 species
AUUGAACUCUGGCGGCAGGCCUAACACAUGCAAGUCGAGCGAGCGGCGGACGGGUGAGUAAUGUCUGUGAACCUGCCUGCUGGAGGGGGAUAACUACUGGUAACGGUAGCUAAUACCGCCUACCAUCUGAUGUGCCCAGCGGGGAUUAGCUAGUAGGUGGGGUAACGGCCCACCUAGGCGACGAUCCCUAGCUGGUCUGAGAGGAUGACCAGCCACACUGGAACUGAGACACGGUCCAGACUCCUACGGGAGGCAGCAGUGGGGAAUAUUGCACAAUGGGCGCAAGCCUGAUGCAGCCAUGCCGCGUGUGUGAAGAAGGCCUUCGGGUUGUAAAGCACUUUCAGCGGGGAGGCGUUACCCGCAGAAGAAGCACCGGCUAACUCCGUGCCAGCAGCCGCGGUAAUAC